rnacentral:rRNA from 1 species
GGAGCUUGCUCCUUGGGUGACGAGUGGCGGACGGGUGAGUAAUGUCUGGGGAUCUGCCCGAUAGAGGGGGAUAACCACUGGAAACGGUGGCUAAUACCGCAUAACGUCGCAAGACCAAAGAGGGGGACCUUCGGGCCUCUCACUAUCGGAUGAACCCAGAUGGGAUUAGCUAGUAGGCGGGGUAAUGGCCCACCUAGGCGACGAUCCCUAGCUGGUCUGAGAGGAUGACCAGCCACACUGGAACUGAGACACGGUCCAGACUCCUACGGGAGGCAGCAGUGGGGAAUAUUGCACAAUGGGCGCAAGCCUGAUGCAGCCAUGCCGCGUGUAUGAAGAAGGCCUUCGGGUUGUAAAGUACUUUCAGCGGGGAGGAAGGCGAUGUGGUUAAUAACCGCGUCGAUUGACGUUACCCGCAGAAGAAGCACCGGCUAACUCCGUGCCAGCAGCCGCGGUAAUACGGAGGGUGCAAGCGUUAAUCGGAAUUACUGGGCGUAAAGCGCACGCAGGCGGUCUGUUAAGUCAGAUGUGAAAUCCCCGGGCUUAACCUGGGAACUGCAUUUGAAACUGGCAGGCUUGAGUCUUGUAGAGGGGGGUAGAAUUCCAGGUGUAGCG